rnacentral:rRNA from 1 species
UACGGGGGGGGCAAGCGUUGUUCGGAAUUACUGGGCGUAAAGGGCUCGUAGGCGGCCAACUAAAUCAGACGUGAAAUCCCCAGGCUCAACCUGGGAACUGCGUCUGAUACUGGAUGGCUUGAAUUCGGGAGAGGGAUGCAGAAUUCCAGGUGUAGCGGUGAAAUGCGUAGAUAUCUGGAGGAAUACCGGUGGCGAAGGCGGCAUCCUGGACCGACAUUGACGCUGAGGAGCGAAAGCUAGGGGAGCAAACGGG